GUGGGGAAUAUUGGACAAUGGGCGAAAGCCUGAUCCAGCAAUGCCGCGUGAGUGAAGAAGGUCUUCGGAUUGUAAAGCUCUUUCGACGGGGACGAUGAUGACGGUACCCGUAGAAGAAGCCCCGGCUAACUUCGUGCCAGCAGCCGCGGUAAUACGAAGGGGGCUAGCGUUGCUCGGAAUGACUGGGCGUAAAGGGCGCGUAGGCGGUUUGGACCGUCAGAUGUGAAAUUCCCGGGCUCAACCUGGGGGCUGCAUUUGAUACGUCCAGACUAGAGUGAGGAAGAGGGUUGUGGAAUUCCCAGUGUAGAGGUGAAAUUCGUAGAUAUUGGGAAGAACACCGGUGGCGAAGGCGGCAACCUGGUCCUUGACUGACGCUGAGGCGCGAAAGCGUGGGGAGCAAACAGGAUUAGAUACCCCAGUAGUCC
rnacentral:rRNA from 1 species